rnacentral:lncRNA from 1 species
CCCAUCCCACAGUCUGAGUCCAGCUGUGCCGAUCCCUGGAGGAAGCAGCACUGGGGGGGAGGGAGAGGCCCAGAGGCUGCUCAGGAGGGGUCUCCACAUCUGGGCUCCGCAGCCGAGGGAUCUCAGGCUCCAGCUCUGCACAGGAGGAGCGGUCUGAGACUCCAGAUCUUCUCAGCCCAGGGCCUCCCCGUGGGCCCAGAGGUUCUGCUGUGGAGCAGGAGCAGCUGCAGGAGGCUGGAGAGGCACUGAACCCCUGAGCCUGGUGCCAGCAGGACAGGAUCAGCUCCAGGCUUUUGAGCUGGAUGAUUUUUGGGGAAAAGAGAGCUCAGGAGCUCCUGCUGUUCUGCUGAGGAUUGCUUCCCUGAAAAAUCAGGCUGCAGGUCUCACCUCCAAUGGAUACAAGUGCUUGAGUAAGCUCAGUCAGGCAUUCUGUGAUCACAGGAGGCUGAACGGGCCUGAAACUGGUUCCAGUCCAUUCCUUUAGCUGACACUCCUGUUUCCCCCCACCCUUCCCACCAUGGAAACAUUUUUUUCCAACUCUCUUUGAUGUGAAUAAUUGAUCACCAGCUGAAAUCCUUCAUCUGGACACCCCAUCAGAGUAUUGUUCCUGCUUGGUAGAUGAGCAGGAAGAGCCCAAAUCGGGAGGAACAGCCUGAAGCAAAGCAGCUGCACAAGGAGGUUGCUGUGUCUCACUGGUGCUUGGACACUGCUCACAUCAGCUUCAUCUCAGGAACUUGCUCCUGACGGCGUGGCUUUCCUCGGCACAGCGUAUCCUGGUGACCCGCAGCUCCUUCUCCAGCGCCUUCACCUUCUGCUCCGCCUGGACCUUCUGCUCCUUGUAGGGCUCCAGCUCCUCCAGCUCUGUGUCCAGGAGCGAGGCCUCGGCCUCCGUGUCCUUCAGGGCACCCCUCACCUCCCGCUCCUUGCCAGCAUACCGUGGGGUCAGCUCCUCCUUCUGCUCCUGGAUUCGGGCCAGAUCCUGGCAGUUCUGGUGGCUGAGGGUGAUGAUCAUUUCCGGGGGGUCCUGGCUGAGCUUUGCUCCGCAGGACAGGUAGGACUGGCUCUGCUCCUGAGUGUCCUGGCCUUCCUUUUCCAGGCGUUUGUUUCCGUGCAGGAGCUGCUCUGCUCUCCCCAGGGCCUCUCCAUCCUUGCUUUUCGUUGUUUUGGAUGCCAUAUCCCAGCCAAGACGUGA